rnacentral:rRNA from 1 species
AUCAACGCUGGCGGCGUGCCUAACACAUGCAAGUCGAACGCGAAAGUGGAGCAAUCCAUGAGUAGAGUGGCAAACGGGUGAGUAACGCGUGGGCGACCUACCUUCGAGUGGGGGAUAACCUUCCGAAAGGAGGGCUAAUACCGCAUGACAUCUCGUGUUUAGAUACACGGACAUCAAAGCCGGGGAUCGCAAGACCUGGCGCUUGGAGAGGGGCCCGCGUCCGAUUAGCUAGUUGGUGAGGUAAUGGCUCACCAAGGCUCCGAUCGGUAUCCGGCCUGAGAGGGCGGACGGACACACUGGGACUGAGACACGGCCCAGACUCCUACGGGAGGCAGCAGUGGGGAAUUGUUCGCAAUGGGCGCAAGCCUGACGACGCAACGCCGCGUGGAGGAUGAAGACCUUCGGGUCGUAAACUCCUUUCGACCGAGAUGAAGACCGGCCGGCCUAAUACGCUGGUCGAUUGACAGUAUCGAGGGAAGCAGCCCCGGCUAACUCCGUGCCAGCAGCCGCGGUAAUACGGGGGGGGCAAGCGUUGUUCGGAGUUACUGGGCGUAAAGGGUUUGUAGGUGGCUUGCUAAGUCAGACGUGAAAUCCCUCAGCUUAACUGGGGAACUGCGUCUGAGACUGGUGAUGCUCGAGGAAGCGAGAGGUGAACGCGGAAUCCAUGGUGUAGCGGUGAAAUGCGUUAGAUAUCAUGGCAGGAACACCGGAGGCGAAGGCGGCGUUCCUGGGACUUGCAAUGACACUGAUAAACGAAAGCCAGGGGAGCGAACGGGAUUAGAUACCCCGGUAGUCCUGGCCCUAAACGAUGAGCACUAGCUGGUGCCUGCCAGGGUAUCCUGCGUGCCGGAGCUAAAGUGUUAAGCAUUCCGCCUGGGGAGUAUGGUCGCAAGGCUGAAACUCAAAGGAAUUGACGGGGGCCGCACACAAGCGGUGGAGCAUGUGGCUCAAUUCGACGCAACGCGAAGAACCUUAUCCUAGGCUCUGACAUGGUGAGAUGACCAUCGGGAAAGAGAGGACUCCCGCAAGGGCAUCUUUCAGCAGGUGCUGCAUGGCUGUCGUCAGCUCGUGUCGUGAGAUGUCGGGUUAAGUCCCGUAACGAGCGAAACCCUUGUCCUUAGUUGCCAUCGGGUCAUGCCGGGCACUCUGAGGAGACUGCCGGUGUUACAAACCGGAGGAAGGUGGGGAUGACGUCAAGUCCGCAUGGCCUUUAUGUCUAGGGGCUACACACGUGCCUACAAUGGCGGUACACAAACGAUCGCAAACUCGCAAGAGGCAGCUAAUCGGCAGAAAUUGCCGGCUCCCAGUUCGGAUUGCAGGCUGCAACUCGCCUGCAUGAAGCCUGGAAUCGCUAGUAAUCGCGGAUCAGCAUAGCCGCGGUGAAUACGUGUUCCGGGCCUUGUACACACCGCCCGUCACAUCACGAAAGUGGGGGGCGCCCAACAGUCCUGUCGUAACCGCAAGGAACAAGGGACCUAAGGCGAACUCCGUGAUUGGGACU